GACCUGUUAGCUCAGCCGGUAGAGCACUUGACUUUUAAUCAAGGGGCCGCGGGUCCGAAUCCCGCACGGGUCACCA
rnacentral:tRNA from 1 species